AGUCACUGACAUUAGAUACCCGUGUAGUCCAGGGUGUAAACGCUGCAGACUUGGUGUUGGAAGCCCUUUGGGGGCAUUCAGUGCCGGAGAGAAGUUGUUAAGUCUGCUACUUGGGGAGUACGUCCGCAAGGAUGAAACUUAAAGGAAUUGGCGGGGGAGCACCGCAACGGGAGGAGCGUGCGGUUUAAUUGGAUUCAACACCGUAAAACUCACCAGGGAAGACUGUUACAUGAAAGCCGAGAUGAAGACUCUGCUAGAUUUUCAG
rnacentral:rRNA from 1 species